rnacentral:rRNA from 1 species
ACGGGUGAGUAACGCGUGGGAACGUGCCCUUCGGUUCGGAAUAACUCAGGGAAACUUGAGCUAAUACCGGAUACGCCCUUUUGGGGAAAGGUUUAUCUGCCGAAGGAUCGGCCCGCGUCUGAUUAGCUAGUUGGUGAGGUUAUGGCUCACCAAGGCGACGAUCAGUAGCUGGUCUGAGAGGAUGAUCAGCCACACUGGGACUGAGACACGGCCCAGACUCCUACGGGAGGCAGCAGUGGGGAAUAUUGGACAAUGGGGGCAACCCUGAUCCAGCCAUGCCGCGUGAGUGAUGACGGCCUUAGGGUUGUAAAGCUCUUUUCUCCGGGACGAUAAUGACGGUACCGGAGGAAUAAGCCCCGGCUAACUUCGUGCCAGCAGCCGCGGUAAUACGAAGGGGGCUAGCGUUGCUCGGAAUCACUGGGCGUAAAGGGCGCGUAGGCGGCUGAUUUAGUCGAGGGUGAAAGCCCGUGGCUCAACCACGGAAUGGCCUUCGAUACUGAUUGGCUUGAGACCGGAAGAGGACAGCGGAACUGCGAGUGUAGAGGUGAAAUUCGUAGA